UACGAAGGGUGCAAGCGUUGCUCGGAAUUAUUGGGCGUAAAGGGUUGGUAGGUGGUCUUGUUUGUCUAAGGUGAAAUCCCAUGGCUUAACUGUGGAAGUGCCUUAGAAACGGCAAGACUAGAGUUCUAGAGGGGUUUGUGGAAUUCCCGGUGUAGCGGCGAAAUGCGUAGAGAUGUGCAGGAACACCAAUGGCGAAGGCAAUCUUCUGGACGAAAACUGACGCUGAGACACGAAAGCCAAGGUAGCAAACAGG
rnacentral:rRNA from 1 species